CAGUCGCCGCGGGAACACGGAGGGUGCAAGCGUUAAUCGGAAUUACUGGGCGUAAAGCGUGCGUAGGUGGUGGUUUAAGUCCGUUGUGAAAGCCCUGGGCUCAACCUGGGAAUUGCAGUGGAUACUGGGUCACUAGAGUGUGGUAGAGGAUAGUGGAAUUUCCGGUGUAGCAGUGAAAUGCGUAGAGAUCGGAAGGAACAUCUGUGGCGAAGGCGACUAUCUGGGCCAACACUGACACUGAGGCACGAAAGCGUGGGGAGCAAACAGGAUUAGAUACCCCAGUAGUCCCUGUCUCUUAUAC
rnacentral:rRNA from 1 species